rnacentral:rRNA from 1 species
CCUACGGGCGUCAGCAGUGAGGAAUAUUGGUCAAUGGGCGCGAGCCUGAACCAGCCAAGUAGCGUGAAGGAUGACUGCCCUAUGGGUUGUACACUUCUUUUAUAAAGGAAUACAACGAGGCACGUGUGCCUUUUUGCAUGUCCUUUAUGAAUAAGGAUCGGCUAACUACGUGCCAGCAGCCGCGGUACUACGGAGGAUCCGAGCGUUAUCCGGAUUUAUUGGGUUUAAAGGGAGCGUAGAUGGGUUGUUAAGUCAGUUGUGAAAGUUUGCGGCGCAACCGUAAAAUUGCAAUUGAUACUGGCAGUCUUGAGUACAGUUGAGGUAGGCGGAAUUCGUGGUGUAGCGGUGAAAUGCUUAGAUAGCACGAAGAACCCCGAUUGCGAAGGCAGCUUACUAAACUGUGACUGACAUUGAUGCUCGAAAGUGUGGGUAUCAAACAGGAUUAGAUACCCCGGUAGUC